rnacentral:RNase_P_RNA from 1 species
CGACCCGGAUAAUUGCUAGCAUUGCUAGAGGAAAGUCCAUGCUCGCACGGGCUGUGAUGCUCGUAGUGAUUGCGCUAGCGGAAAAAAUAACGCUAGGCACGUAGGAGUACGUGACGGCGGAACUAGUCUAAAACUUCGGUCAUGAUAAUGUUCCCCAAGGUGCCACAGAGACGCAGUAAGCGGAAACGCGGAAAUGAAACGUUGGUAAACCCCA